GCAAUUAUUAAAAGACUGGACAACUCAUGCCCUGCUGGGUCAUCAUUUGACAGAUAUUUAAUUAUCUAAACAGAGAAGCAGUAUGACAACAGGUUCCCUUAGAUUUCUCCUUCGUUGGAUCCCUGGAGGCUGCCUGGCUUCCUUCAGAAGCAGCGCUGGUGAUUGCUGGAGGGCAUCUGCAGCCACAGAUGCCCCUGGCUGAGAACUGGACUACGCCUUACCAUUGCAGGUCAUCCUUUCGGAACCCAGAUGGGGGAUAUGGGUUCUCUCAUUCAGCCAGGCAGUACUCAGGACGCCAGGGUCCCCAACAGCAAAAGGCAGUACAGGCAAGGGUUACCAAUGAUUCCUCUCUUCCAGGAGAUCUUACUGAGGUACAGGAAAAUUUUGUCCCUACCGCAGGCGAAAUUGACUGGGACAGGAACUUUCCCAUCGGCAGUCGUUUGGCCUUCUUUGCCGGACAUUGGGAGGAGGUAACAACAGACACCUGGGUCAGGGAGACGAUAAAAUCUGGCCUCUCCAUAGAGUUUCUCUCCUACCCCCUGACGCGUUUCUGCCUCUGUCCCAUAUCCUGGGUUCGCAAAAAGAGGCACCUGGUAGACUAGGCCAUUCAACAUCUCUUGGACAUUCAGGCCAUCUGGCCGGUUCCGAUGGAUCACCAGGGACAGGGGUUUAUUUUAUUUUAUUAAACACAUUUAUAUGCCGCCCAAUCCCGAAGGACUCCGGGCGGCUCGAACAUCAACGGUACCUGUGUUUUUGUUAUCGCAGACGCCAUUACCACUAUCAGGCCC